rnacentral:rRNA from 1 species
AGUGAACGCUGGCGGCGUGCUUAACACAUGCAAGUCGAACGAGAACGGAUUAUAGCUUGCUAUAAUUGUCAGCUAAGUGGCGCACGGGUGAGUAAUGUAUAGGUAAUAUGCCUCUUACUAAGGGAUAACAAAUGGAAACGUUUGCUAAUACCUUAUACUCCUUAUUAACAGAAGUUAAUAAGGGAAAGAUUUAUUGGUAAGAGAUUAGCCUGUAUUGUAUCAGUUAGUUGGUGGGGUAAUGGCUUACCAAGACUAUGACACAUAACUGGUUUGAGAGGAUGAUCAGUCACACUGGAACUGAGACGCGGUCCAGACUCCUACGGGAGGCAGCAGUGGGGAAUAUUGCACAAUGGACGAAAGUCUGAUGCAGCAACGCCGCGUGGAGGAUGACACAUUUCGGUGCGUAAACUCCUUUUAUAUGAGAAGAUAAUGACGGUAUUAUACGAAUAAGCACCGGCUAACUCCGUGCCAGCCGCCGCGGUAA